rnacentral:rRNA from 1 species
GACGAACGCUGGCGGCGUGCUUAACACAUGCAAGUCGAACGGAAAGGCCCUGCUUGUGUGGUAUGCUCGAGGUGCGAACGGGUGAGUAACACGUGAGUAACCUGCCCUUCACUUUGGGAUAACUUCAGGACACUGGGGCUAAUCGCGUAUAGGAGCUCCUGCUGCAGGGUGUGGGUUGGAUAGUUUCGGAGGGUGGGGAUGGACUCGCGGCUUAUCAGCUUGUUGGUGGGGUAGUGGCUUACCAAGGCUUUGGCGGGUGGCCGGCCUGAGUGGGUGACCGGCAACAUUGGGACUGAGAUACGGCCAAGACUCCUACGGGAGGCAGCAGUGGGGAAUAUGGAACAAUGGGCGGAAGCAGGAUGAAGCAACGCCGCGUGCGGGAGGACGGCCUUCGGUUUGUAACCCGCUUUCGCCUGUGAAGAAGUGUGAGUGACGGUAAUGGGUAAAGAAGCACCGGCUAACUACGUG